GGGCCACUAGCUCAAUUGGCAGAGCAUCAGACUCUUAAUCUGUGGGUUCCAGGUUCGAGUCCUGGGUGGCUCA
rnacentral:tRNA from 1 species